rnacentral:rRNA from 1 species
AACGAACGCUGGCGGCAGGCCUAAAACAUGCAAGUCGAACGAACCUUCGGGUUAGUGGCGCACGGGUGAGUAACGCGUGGGAAUGUACCUUUUGGUACGGAACAACUGAGGGAAACUUCAGCUAAUACCGUAUGUGCCCUUCGGGGGAAAGAUUUAUCGCCAUUGGAGCGGCCCGCGUUGGAUUAGGUAGUUGGUGAGGUAAAGGCUCACCAAGCCUACGAUCCAUAGCUGGUCUGAGAGGAUGAUCAGCCACACUGGGACUGAGACACGGCCCAGACUCCUACGGGAGGCAGCAGUAGGGAAUCUUGCACAAUGGGCGAAAGCCUGACGCAGCCAUGCCGCGUGAAUGAUGAAGGUCUUAGGAUUGUAAAAUUCUUUCACCGGGGACGAUAAUGACGGUACCCGGAGAAGAAGCCCCGGCUAACUUCGUG